rnacentral:lncRNA from 1 species
CUCCUGCAUUUAUAAACAAAUAUUAAGAGCAAUAAUAUUUGGAAAGAUUGUGACACUAUUGUAAGGGUUGAUUGGAUACAACCUCUCUGCCCUUUCGGGUAGGGGUAAGGCCCGUCUACAUAUUACCCUCCCCAGACCCCACUUUGUGGGACUAUACUGGAUAGUUGUUGUUGUUGUUGUUUGUGACACUAUUGUAAGGGGCAUAGUUGCAGAAAGAGAAGGAACAACUAGAUGACUUCCUAUAAAGUAAGAAAGGAACAUCCAGUUGUUAGCAGGAAAAGAAAAAAAUGGCUCGUCUCCAAAAAGAAAAAAGAUGCAUAAAGGCAGCUGGUAUUGCAGACUGGCUCAUUUUUACCAAUGUUUUAAAAGGCGUGGGCGACAGACGUAGCGUUUUAUCAAACACGGGGCGAGGCGAAAGCCACAUGAGUAUGUAAUUUUUAAAACUUUAUAAAUUAAUAAAAUAAAUAUAUAAAAAAUACAUUAAAAUUGUAAAAGAUUCAAGAAAGCUAUAAAAUUAGUAGAACAAUAUAUAUAUUUAUCAUAAAAACCUAACAUGUGCAUGAACAAAAGAAUUUUUUUUACUUGAAAAAGAAAGACGUAAAGAUAGAUUACACCUAUAAUUAACAUGACUAUGAUCGAACAUAGAUUUAUAAAAAUGAUAUUCUAGUUCCUAAUAAUUCAAAGAAUAAAAAUGAUGCUUAAUAAAAUAAAGAUACUGUUUAAAAACCGAAAACUAGAUAACAAAUUACAAAAAUACAAUAGCCAGAAUAGAGCCAUCAAAACAAUAUCUAAACUGGAGCGAUACUAAAAAAAGAUUUGAAUCCAAAAACUAACUUGAAAUGAAGAAAUUAACAACAACUACCCAGUAUAGUCCCACAAGGUGGGGUCUGGGGAGGGUAAUAUGUAGACAAGCCUUACCCCUACCCGAAAGGGUAGAGAGGCUGUUUCCAAUCGGACCCUCGGCUCAGGGAAGGAAGGGAAAACAAAAACAAAAAGAAAAACAAAAGAGCAUUAGCAAGGGCGGAUGCAGUGUAAAGAGUACGGGUUCCCGGGAACCCAGUAACUUUUGCGUCAACCCUAUAUUUAUAUUGAGAAAUUCACUAAAUAUUGAUAGGAACCCAUAUGUUAUUGGAUAUUAAUUUAAAAAUUAAUGUGGGAACCCAUAAGCCUCAAAUCCUGGAUCCGCCUCUUAGCAUUAGUAACUCCAGCAGAAAUCGCGUAAAUAGUUAUCUAAACAUAAGAACCAUAAAUAAAAUGGCAUGCAAUAAUAUCAAACAGUAACUACCAUAAUUAAAGAAUACAAAAAAAAAAUGAAGAAAAUGAAGUGUAAAAAAGGAAAAUGCAAGUGUGUAAGUAGAGUAAUAAUUUAAGAUUUUUAGUUCAAAAAUUUAUCGAAGAUUCCCCGAGAUUUUAGGUAUUGCAGACGCAUUAGGGUUGACGAGGUCAUUGGAGCUUUGCGUAAGAUGAGUAGGGGUAAAGCGACCGGGCCAGAUGAAAUCCCGGUUGAGUUUUGG